CCAAAGACUGCAGUCGAGCGGACGGAUGGAGCUUGGUCCCGNGUUCUGCGCCGGACGGGUGAGUAAAGCCUAUGAGCUGCCGGGUGUUGGGGGACAACAUUUCCAAAGGAACGCUGCUCCGCAUACAUCCUACGGGAGAAAGCAUGGGACCUUCGGGCCUGGCGCUAUCAGAUGAGCCUACGUCGGAUUAGCUAGUUGGUGAGGUAAUGGCUCACCAAGGCGACCAUCCGUGACUGGUCUGAGAGGAUGAUCGGUCACACUGGAACUGAGACACGGUCCAAACUCCUACGGGAGGCAGCAGUGGGGAAUAUUGUACAAUGGGCUAAACCCUGAUCCACCCAUGCCCCGUGUGUGAAGAAGGUCUUCAGAUUGGAAAGCACUUUAAGUUGGGAGGAAGGGUUGUAAAUUAAUACUCUGCAAUUUUGACGUUACCCACUGAAUAAACACCGGCUAACUCUGUGCCAUCAGCCGCGGUCAAUACAGAGAGGUGAAGCGUAUAAUCGGUACUGGUGCGUAAAGCGCGCGUAGGUGGUUCUUUAAGUUGGAUGUGAGAUCCCCGGGCUCAACCUGGGAACUGCAUCCAAAACUGGCGAGCUAGCGUAUGGUAGAGGGUGGUGGAAUUUCCUGUGUAGCUGAAAAAUGCGUAGAUAUAUGAAGGAACACCAGUGGCGAAGGCGAGCACCUGGACUGAUACUCACACUGAUGUGCGAAAGCGUGGGGAGCAAACAGGAUUAGAUACCCUGGUAGUCCACGCGGUAAAAGAUGUCUACUAGCCGUUGGGACGCUUGACUCUUAGGUGCCGCAGCUCACGCAUUAAUUUACCGCCCUGUGGAGUACAGCCGCCACGUUAAAACUCAAAGUAAUUGACAGGGCCCCUAACAAGCGGUGGAGCAUUUGUUGAUAUUUGAAUUAACCGCGAAAACCUUGCCCGGCCUUGACAUCCAAUGAACUUUCCAAUAGAUAUUGCGUCCUUAUGUGGAACAUGAGAUAGGGGUGCCAUGGGUUUUUUCAGCUCGUGUUUUGAGAUGUUGGGUUAAAUCCCGUAAAAAGGGCAACCCUUUUCUUUUGUUACCAGCCCGUAAUGUUGGCCAUUUUAAGGAGAGUCCCGGUGACAAACCGGAGGAAGGUGGGGAUGACGUCAAUUCAUCAUGCCCCUUACGCCUUGGGCUCCACACGUGUUCCAAUGGUCGGUACAAAGGGUUGCCAAGCCGGGAGGUGAAGCUAUUCCCAUAAAACGGUUUGUAUUCCGGAUCCCAUUUUGAAAUUCGAUUGGGUGAAGUGGGAAUCGUUGGUAAUGGGGAAUCACAAUGUCCCGGUAAAUACGUUCCCGGCCUUGGUCCCCACCCCCCGUCCCCCCCUGGGAUUUGGUCCCACCAAAAGUAGUUAGACUACCUUUCAGGAGGACCGGACCCA
rnacentral:rRNA from 1 species